UGGGGAAUAUUUCACAAUGGGGGAAACCCUGAUGCAGCGACGCCGCGUGAACGAAGAAGGUAUUCGUAUCGUAAAGUUCUGUCCUAUGGGAAGAUAAUGACAGUACCAUAGAAGAAAGCUCCGGCUAAAUACGUGCCAGCAGCCGCGGUAAUACGUAUGGAGCGAGCGUUGUCCGGAAUUAUUGGGCGUAAAGGGUACGCAGGCGGUUUAAUAAGUCGAAUGUUAAAGAUCGGGGCUCAACCCCGUAAAGCAUUGGAAACUGAUAAACUUGAGUAGUGGAGAGGAAAGUGGAAUUCCUAGUGUAGUGGUGAAAUACGUAGAUAUUAGGAGGAAUACCAGUAGCGAAGGCGACUUUCUGGACAAAAACUGACGCUGAGGUACGAAAGCGGGGGGAGCAAACAGG
rnacentral:rRNA from 1 species